AUUGAACGCUGGCGGCAGGCUUAACACAUGCAAGUCGAGCGGCAGCACGGGAGCAAUCCUGGUGGCGAGUGGCGAACGGGUGAGUAAAGUAUCGGAACGUGCCCAGUCGUGGGGGAUAACGUAGCGAAAGUUACGCUAAUACCGCAUACGAUCUAUGGAUGAAAGCGGGGGAUCGCAAGACCUCGCGCGAUUGGAGCGGCCGAUAUCAGAUUAGGUAGUUGGUGGGGUAAAGGCUCACCAAGCCGACGAUCUGUAGCUGGUCUGAGAGGACGACCAGCCACACUGGGACUGAGACACGGCCCAGACUCCUACGGGAGGCAGCAGUGGGGAAUUUUGGACAAUGGGCGAAAGCCUGAUCCAGCCAUGCCGCGUGCAGGAUGAAGGCCUUCGGGUUGUAAACUGCUUUUGUGCGGAACGAAAAGGUUUGGCCUGAUAAGCUGAGCUCAUGACGGUACCGUAAGAGUAAGCACCGGCUAACUACGUGCCAGCAGCCGCCGUAACAC
rnacentral:rRNA from 1 species